ensembl:lncRNA
GGAGGGGCCGAGGGGCGGGAAAGGCUGAGGGGCAGAAAGGGAGAGGCGGGAAAAACUGAGGGGCACGGCCCUGCCCGCCCCCUCAAGAAACCCACACCACAAUCAAGGCUUCAUGAAUAAUUUAUUCCAUUUGAAUUUUUUUGUUUUUUUUUUAAAAAGUAUAAACCUUUUUUUUUUCUUCAUUUCCUCGAUCACAAUUUUUACAAUUCAGUGUUUAUGGCAUUCGGCAGAAAUAGUGUUUGUUCCUUAAAUCUCUUUUUUGUUUCUGUGUUUUGUCACAAUAAAUACGACGGCGGCUCGGCUGAGGGCACAUGGCGGCAGCUGGGCGAGGCUCCCCAGCACAUCCAGCCGUGCCAGAGGGUGUGGGAGCGGCUCCCUGACCUGUCCAGCCGUGCCAGAGUGGCGGUGGAGCAGCUCCUUGGUGUGUCCAGCCAGGAUGUUGGAAUGGUUGGAAUGGCUUCCCAGUACAUCCAGCCAUGCCAGCAGGGUGUCGGAGCAGCCCCGUGGUGUGUCCAGCUGGGGUGUUGAUGUUGCAGUGGCUGCCCAGCGUGUCCAGCCAGGGUGUUGGAAUGGCUGCCCACUGUGUCCAGCCAUGCUGGAGGGGUGUUGGAGCAGCUCCAUGCUGUGUCCAGCCAUGACAGACGGGCGGUGGAGCAGCUCUGCGCUGUGUCCAGCCAUGCCCGGAGGGGCAUUGCAACAGCUCUGUGCUGUGUCCAGCCGUGCCGGAGGGUGGGUGGAGCAGCUCUGUGCUGUGUCCAGCCAUAAGGGACGGGCGUUGGAGCAGCUCCACGCUGUGUCCAGCCGUGCCGGAGGGGCAGUGGAGCAGCUCCAUGCUGUGUCCAGCUGUGCCAGAGAGACGCUGGAGCAGCUCCACGCUGUGUCCAGCUGUGCCGGAGGGGCGGGGGAACAGCUCCACACUGUGUCCAGCUGUGACAGACGGGCGUUGGAGCAGCUCCACGCUGUGUCCAGCCGUGCCGGAGGGGCAGUGGAGCAGCUCCAUGCUGUGUCCAGCUGUGGCAGAGAGACGCUGGAGCAGCUCCGCGCUGUGUCCAGCUGUGCCGGAGGGGCGGGGGAACAGCUCCACACUGUGUCCAGCUGUGACAGACGGGCGUUGGAGCAGCUCCACGCUGUGUCCAGCCGUGCCGGAGGGGCAGUGGAGCAGCUCCAUGCUGUGUCCAGCUGUGCCAGAGAGACGCUGGAGCAGCUCCACGCUGUGUCCAGCUGUGCCGGAGGGGCGGGGGAACAGCUCCACACUGUGUCCAGCUGUGACAGACGGGCGUUGGAGCAGCUCCACGCUGUGUCCAGCCGUGCCGGAGGGGCAGUGGAGCAGCUCCAUGCUGUGUCCAGCUGUGCCAGAGAGACGCUGGAGCAGCUCCACGCUGUGUCCAGCUGUGCCGGAGGGGCGGGGGAACAGCUCCACACUGUGUCCAGCUGUGACAGACGGGCGUUGGAGCAGCUCCACGCUGUGUCCAGCCGUGCCGGAGGGGCAGUGGAGCAGCUCCAUGCUGUGUCCAGCUGUGCCAGAGAGACGCUGGAGCAGCUCCACGCUGUGUCCAGCUGUGCCGGAGGGGCGGGGGAACAGCUCCACACUGUGUCCAGCUGUGACAGACGGGCGUUGGAGCAGCUCCACGCUGUGUCCAGCCGUGCCGGAGGGGCAGUGGAGCAGCUCCAUGCUGUGUCCAGCUGUGGCAGAGAUGAUCUGGAGCAGCUCCGCGCUGUGUCCAGCCGUGCCGUGUCCACUCACCAGGCCACAGGCUGUGCCAUCCCAAGCCAGCGCUCGGCAAGGUCCUCAUGUCCAGUUGACUCGGAAAAACCUAAAGCUCGAUGA